ACCUACGGGGGCAGCAGUGGGGAAUUUUGGACAAUGGGCGCAAGCCUGAUCCAGCCAUUCCGCGUGAGUGAAGAAGGCCUUCGGGUUGUAAAGCUCUUUCGCAAGGGAAGAAAACUUAUCCUCUAACAUAGGAUGAGGUUGACGGUACCUUGAUAAGAAGCACCGGCUAACUACGUGCCAGCAGCCGCGGUAAUACGUAGGGUGCGAGCGUUAAUCGGAAUUACUGGGCGUAAAGCGUGCGCAGGCGGCUAUUUAAGUCUGAUGUGAAAUCCCUGGGCUCAACCUAGGAACUGCGUUGGAAACUGAAUAGCUAGAAUAUGUCAGAGGGGGGUAGAAUUCCACGUGUAGCAGUGAAAUGCGUAGAGAUGUGGAGGAAUACCAAUGGCGAAGGCAGCCCCCUGGGAUAAUAUUGACGCUCAUGCACGAAAGCGUGGGGAGCAAACAGGAUUAGAUACCCCGGUAGU
rnacentral:rRNA from 1 species